rnacentral:rRNA from 1 species
GACGGAGGGGGCUAGCGUUGUUCGGAAUGACUGGGCGUAAAGGGCGCGUAGGCGGCUUUUUAAGUGAGGCGUGAAAGCCCUGGGCUUAACCCAGGAGGUGCGUUUCAUACUGAAAAGCUUGAGUAUGAGAGAGGAAAGUGGAAUUCCUAGUGUAGAGGUGAAAUUCGUAGAUAUUAGGAAGAACACCAGUGGCGAAGGCGGCUUUCUGGCUCGUAACUGACGCUGAGGCGCGAAAGCGUGGGGAGCAAACAGG